UUUGGGUGGAUGAGUGAGUGAGUGAGUGGGUGAAUGGGUUAGUGGGUGAGUGAGUGGGUGAGUAUGUGAGUGGGUGAGUGAGUUGUGAUGGUUGGAAUAUCUUACAACUGAUAUGUAUCAAAAUGUAUCACUGUCAUUACUGUUGUCAGAUGUCAAAUUUAUUCACAGUUUCAACCUCCGAGGCUGCCCGCAUAGUUGUGAGUGAGUGAGUGAGUGAGUGGGUGAAUGGGUGAGUGAGUGAGUGAGUGAGUGAGUAGGUGAGUUAAUGAAUGGGUUAGUGCGUGAGUCGGUGAGUAGGUGAGUGGGUGAGUGAGUUGUGAUGGUUGGAAUAUCUUACAACUGAUAUGUAUCAAAAUGUAUCACUGUCAAUACUUUUGUCAAAUGUCAAAUUUAUUCAGUUUCAACGUCUGAGACUGCCCGCACAGUUGUGAGUGAGUGAGUGAGUGAGUGGGUGGGUAGGUG